rnacentral:rRNA from 1 species
ACGCUGGCGGCGUGCCUAACACAUGCAACUCGAGCGGGCCUGUCAAGGCGUUAUGUUUUGGCAGGUUUAGCGGCGGACGGGUGAGUAACGCGUGAGCAACNUACCCUUAAGACAGGGAUAACCCUGGGAAACCGGGGCUAAUACCUGAUAUACUCUAUUAGGGCAUCCUGAUGGAGGAAAGGGCGGGAAGCCGCUCAAGGAUGGGCUCGCGUCCCAUCAGCUAGUUGGUGAGGUAACGGCUCACCAAGGCGACGACGGGUAGCCGGCCUGAGAGGGUGGUCGGCCACACUGGGACUGAGACACGGCCCAGACUCCUACGGGAGGCAGCAGUGGGGAAUCUUCCGCAAUGGGCGAAAGCCUGACGGAGCGACGCCGCGUGAGCGAGGAAGGCCUUCGGGUCGUAAAGCUCGAUAGUGUGGGAAGAAGGGAUGACGGUACCACACGAAAGCCCCGGCUAACU